rnacentral:rRNA from 1 species
GAUCCUGGCUCAGGAUGAACGCUAGCUACAGGCUUAACACAUGCAAGUCGAGGGGCAGCAUUGGUCUUAGCUUGCUAAGGCCGAUGGCGACCGGCGCACGGGUGAGGUAACGCGUAUCCAACCUGCCUUACACUCUUGGACAGCCUUCUGAAAGGGAGAUUAAUACAAGAUGUUAUCAUGAGUAAGCAUUUUCGCAUGAUUAAAGGUUUACCGGUGUAAGAUGGGGAUGCGUUCCA